AUUCUAUUUUUGUCCCUUCCUCCUCUACAACAGAGAAAAGACAUGCCCCAUUUUCAGUGACACCUGUAAAUCCCGUAGUUAACUGGUGACUUAUCCUGUGGGAUGCAUCUUUGGACUGAUCUUGAGUGACAGAGGCAAUUCCAAAUUCAACUUGCAUUUUCUGCUGAUCAAAGGACUCUUUUCACCAUGAAAAUGAAGUCCCAGUCACUGGUAGUUCCAUUCGGGAGGCGGGCAGGAAAAAAAAAUCUCAUUUCACUGAACUAGGGCAGAUAGACUGCUUAGGAGAUUCCAAGCCUCGAGUAUCAAAAUCAUCAAAAUCAUCAAAAUUUUAUACAAAGAAUGGCCCAUACACAAUGUGGUUUCCAGCCAGAUGAAGUCUCUUAAGACCUUGGUAACAUCACCUACGUCCUGGGUAUGGUCCCUGGGCAUGGCCACCGUCGGACUCUGUGGGCUGAGUGCAGGGAUGACA
rnacentral:lncRNA from 1 species